rnacentral:rRNA from 1 species
AGCAGCCGCGGUAAUUCCAGCUCCAAUAGCGUAUAUUAAAGUUGUUGCAGUUAAAAAGCUCGUAGUUGAAUUUCGGGAUUAGUGCGCUGGUCAUGCCUUUGGUAUGUACUGGUGUUACUGAUUUCUACCUUCUGAAGAACCGUUAUGUCAUUUAUUUGGUGUGGCGGGGAAUCAGGACUGUUACUUUGAAAAAAUUAGAGUGUUUAAAGCAGGCUCGCGCUUGAAUACAUUAGCAUGGAAUAAUGAAAUAGGACGUUUGACCCUAUUUUGUUGGUUUCUAGGAUCGACGUAAUGAUUAAUAGGGAUAGUUGGGGGCAUUAGUAUUCAAUUGUCAGAGGUGAAAUUCUUGGAUUUAUUGAAGACUAACUACUGCGAAAGCAUUUGCCAAGGAUGUUUUCAUUAAUCAAGAACGAAAGUUAGGGGAUCGAAGACGAUCAGAUACCGUCGUAGUCUUAACCAUAAACUAUGCCGACUAGGGAUCGGAUGAUGUUAUUUUAAUGACUCAUUCGGCGCCUUACGG